UGGUGGGCCGCAGAACAUGUGCUGAGUUCGUGCCAUAUGUCUGCUGACCAUCACCU
rnacentral:pre_miRNA from 2 species